GCUGAGUUUGUGGCGCGCUUAGUGAUGGGAUGGCCCUGUGCAGGACGCCGACACGAAAAGAUGAAGAGUUCAAUCCGUGCUGUCUGAACUCACAGUGUAGCAGGCGAGAUAGACGGGAAGAUCGGUAGGGUGGGAGAUGCCGGAAAGGCUUCCCGUGAGACUGGAUAAGAAAUCAAAAAUCUGGUGAAAUUGCCGGCAAGAGGGAGUUAAGGACAUUCCAGGCAGAGGCAAGUUGGUCCUUGCUGGCUGAUCCAGCUUCCCCGUCAGCAUAUGGUGAGCAGUUCGGUGAGAGGACCACACUUCCAAUACUGGCAGAUGAAGCCAGAUACUCCUCUAUGAAGUUAAAUGACUGGUUCAGUGUUAACACUGCUAGUGAGCGACAGAGAUGGAAUUUGAACGCACACCUGUCUGACUCCACCUCGUGUUCCUUCCACAUGGCCAGCAAGCUCUGCUGUCCCACCUCGCACUUCUGGGAGGUGGCUACUCCCUCUUUCCACCCCCUUUUCUGGAUCUUGACAAGGGAUUCUACCCUGCCCCAGCUGUCAAAGCCUGCAGCAGCUGCCAAAAAACCUCAACACAGGCAUACUUUGGACCUACAUCAUGUGUUGAUGUCACAGAUGCUGUACCAGGCAUUUGACUCCUUGAUCUAAAGCCAGGAUUCCUAGCCAACAUGGCGAAACCCUGUCUCUACUAAAAAUAACAAAAAUUAGCUGGGCAUGGUGAUAGGCACCUGUAAUCCCAGCUACUUGGGAGGCUGAGGCAGGAGAAUUACUUGAACCCAGGAAGCGAAGGCUGCAGUGAGCAGAGAUUGUGCCUCUGCACUACAGCCUGGGCUAUGGAGUAAGACUCUGUCUCAAAAAAAAAAAAAAAAAAAAAAUAGUGAGGGGGAUGCAUGCCCACACAAAGGAAUCCUGAUAGAGGAACAAUGGCUUGGUCCGUUUCCCCUCCUGUGUAGCACUGUGAUAAAGGAAAGCCUUUCAGGUAUGUGCCUCGAUGGAGCCAGUGGGUGGAAGAGGAAGGGCAAUGAGAGGUUUGAGGACAAGCUGCUGAUACCCUCAUGUGUCAUCACAGUGGUGCCCUUUGGGAGCCUGCUUUGGUAUACUCGUCCACUCAGGGAAGAGGAAGUCUCUUAUCCACAGUUUUGUCUUCAAAAUUGAAAUUUCUUUGGGCAGAGCCUAAAAGAGAGUUGCCUCAUUUCGUGUAACUGUAGCAUAUGUAGUGUAGAGGCUCCAAUGUGUUUUUGAGGCAAUCUGAGAGCUCUUUCUGGAAAUCCCUGGCAGAUGACAUCUGCGUCUGAUUUUACUUUGUCUUACAACCAGGCUAAGACCUCCAGCAUCAUCAGACUGUCGAACUGCUCAGGUCAAGGCAGACAGGUAGAAAGGCCCACAUAGAUAGUGGUUACUCAUCCCAAGAACACAGAGGCCCACACCAGGAAGGGGCAGGUGAUGUUAAUGAUGAGGCAGGCAAUUAUAUCUUGCGAUUUCUAUGAGCCAUGAUGCAUUACAGUAAGGAACUUUACCUCACUUGGCUUGUGACUUCUGUUAGUGAAAAGUGGCCUGCUGGCCUAUGCUGUGGAGGACUUGCAGAAAACUUCCCAGUCACCGGCAGACGGUUGACAUCUCCCCUGGUUCCUCCCCAACCCGUUUAGUGUGAAACGGGACAAAGGGAAACAUUUCCUUUGAUCUAUUUUUGGGGAAAGAGGCAAAUGUCAACUAAAUAAGAUCAUAUUAGGGACUGGGCAUGGUGGCUUAUGCCUGUAAUCCCAGCACUUUGGGAGGCCAAGGUGGGCGGAUCACCUGAGGUCAGGAGUUAGAGACCAGCCUAGCCAACAUGGCGAAACCCUGUCUCUACUAAAAAUACAAAAAAUAUUAGCCAGGUGUGGUAGCACGCGCCUGUAAUCCCAGCCACUCGGGAGGCUGAGGCACGAGAAUCACUUGAACCCAGGAGGCGGAGGUUGCAGUGAGGCGAGAUCACACCACUGCACUCCAGCAGCCUGGGUGAUAGAGACUUGACUCAAAAAAAAAAAAAUCCUAUUAGGAAUUUCAUGAAAGCUCACACAGUUCUUGCACACAUCAUUCAAGGCCUGUUAUGGGGGCCCAGAACAUCAGGACACAGUAGCUAGCCUCACAUUCAGCUCCAUUGCACUAGAGCUUUGCAUGAUCUCAAUUUGAAAAACACACAUGUAUAUCCUACAUUUGUAUCUCUAUUCUAAUAUUAUAUACUGUAUAUGACUUUUUAAAAUAUUGGUUUGCUGUUUCUAUUUUGUGCUAAUGCAACAAAUCUAAUUUGUUUUAGAAACAGUUAUUACUGUUUCUUGCUUCUUAUCACCCCCUACCGUUUGGACUCUGUUGUCCAUCUUUCUCUGCCUAAUUGGACCACAGCCUGGUGCCUCAAUCCCCACAAAAUCUGUUCCCUUCUAGCUCAAGAUGACUGCAUUCUCUCUCAGUUCGCAGUGUACUCAUGGGCUGCUCAUUCAUCUGCCCUUGUGCUCUGUGCCUUUUUGGCAUCUGCGGGUAAACUCAGUGCCACAUAUCUCUAUUCUGUUCACUCCUAAUGUUUGUAUUGUCUUCCCAAGGGACCUCUCUUAUGGCCCUGCUGGGCUCCUCCCCUUACCCACAUGUGCCAAGCAUAGAAAUCAAGGCAACAUUCUCAGUCCCUUUAAGGGAAGUUCCAGGUACCUAGCUAGUCCUACAGCCAGCAAUUAGGGAAGUUAACGAAUAACCUGCUAAACAAGAAGAUAAUAAUUUAAAAGCCACUCAAGUAAGUCAGAGUCACAAAAUGUUUGAUUCCCUGUAGAAACUAAAGAUAGCAUCUUGACCUAUUCCCUUGCAUUGCUUUUCAGAAAACAAUUCCCACACCAGAUGGAAAAUGCUGACCACUGUCAUAGAACUCAGACAGACUGAAACCAAAAAAUAGAUAUGGAAGUUCCAGAAAUUCCCUAGCUCUUAACUCAUUUUGGAUACCCCCUCACUCCUGCUUUAAAAACCCUUGCUUAUAAGCCAGCAGGGAGCUCAGGUGUUAAGUGCUAGGUACCCAUUCUUCUUGCUUGGCACCCAGCAAUAAACGCCUUUUUCUCACUACAAAUCUCAGCGUCAAUGUUUGGCUUUUUUGGCAUGCUGGGCAACCAGAACCAACCCCAUCUUUGUGUGCCUGCAUCCAAUUCUGAUGAGCCUAUGUAUGUCAGGUUGGUCAAGGCCCUUUGUGCUGAACACCAAAUCAACCUAAUUAAGGUUGAUGACAAGAAACUAGGGGAAUGAGUAGGCGACCUCUGUAAAAUUGACAGAGAGGGGAAACCCUGUAAAGUGGUUGGUUGCAGUUGUGUAGUAGUUAAGGACUAUGGCAAGGAGUCUCAGCCCAAGGAUGUCAUCAAAGAGUACUUCAAAUGCAAGAAAUGAACAAACCUUUGUCUCACAAAAAAAAAGCCCACAAACUUUUGAAUGAAAUCUACUUAUAUGAUGUGACACACAUUUCUUUCAGACAUGGAUUUUGAAAUCCUAUCAAUAAAAGCCACCAAGUGAGACACUCAGUUCUGGUUUUGAGCAUGUACCUGCUCCGUUUCCUGGUAUCUGCAAAUUAGGGUGGCCCAGUGCAGGCUCCUGACCGUUUGACCAUGACAGGCUGUCUGAACCCUGGGAGCUCAUCGUGCCCAUCGUCAGAGAUGUCCGUAUGUGACACAGCAGAGACUACCCCACAGAUAACAGACGAAAGCCAGCAGAGUACAAGGCCUAAAUGUGCAUGUCCUUCUGUUUCCUUUUUUUUUUUUUUAGGGGUUCUGACUGAGCAGGCAGAUUGGAAAGGAAGAAUCAGAUGAGGAGCAAGUGCUAGGUGUUGGGGAAACAAUUUAAAUUUCCUCCCACCCCAGAAAUUCCUCUCCAUAAAAUAUAGGAAAAAGAAAAUAUUUUAUUAUUGAAUAAACAUUAAACUAGUGAUGCACAUCUUUAGCAUUCUGCUAAGGAGAUUGCAAAGACAGACAUCCCACCCUUUUAUGUGGGCAAGCAAAUAGGACCCAUUCAUUACAUACAUGUUCUCGAACUAAAGUAAGAGGACUUGACAGCACCAUUUGUCAAGCAUAAUUCAUCCUAAAUUCACCUGGUGACCAUUUGUGUUCGCUAAUUGCCUUUAUCAAAAGGAAAAAUAAAACUCAAGUUUCUAGGACAGCAGGUAGUUUUACAACUUGGAGCCAGGUGCUUAAAUGAAACUACUACCCACUGCCCUCCCACUGACAGUGGGAGGUAGGGAGCUAUCUUCCUUGAUGUCUGUAUUUUCAAAGAGAUGGUUUCCAGGCCCUUGCAGGAAAAGAGUCCUAGGUUGUAAAAUCGACUGGAGCCUUACUUAGCUUUUAAAAAGAUUUAUAUACAUUUCAAAGGGGCAGCAAAAUAUAAGUUUUCUAAAGGAAAUGCUCUAAGAAAAAGGAGGAAGCUCUUCCCCUUUUUGCAUGGGCUUGUGGGGUAACUUACAUUCUGGAAUUCACGAGGAGCAGGAAUUGGUUUCCUCCCUCCACGUGCUGGAAGGCACAGUGUAAGAAGCUUGGCAAGGCUCCAGUCGGGUGGACAAUCACUGGGAAUUCCACGCAUCAAAGGGACAAGGGACAAUCACUGGGUCCAUCCUUUACUUCAGAGGGACAAGACCCAAUGAAUGUAGAACUGGGCCACAGUUUGUCUUGGUUCUUAAGCACGCUGGCCCACACAUGAUAGGUUAUCAUUAAAUGUCUGAUGAGUAAGUGAAUGAAUGUCAGGAACCUGAGAGGCUUUAGAGGUCAUUUACCUCAGCUGAAAUUCAGGCAUCCCUUUCCCUCAGCCCUCCUUAAAUACCAGCAGUCCUGGGGAUCCCACCACUUGCCACAGCAACCCAUUUUACUGUUGGAUAACUGUAAUUAUUAUAACAUUUUUAAUAUCUGAAUAAGGAGAGAAAACAAAAUUCGAGUGCUUUCAAGGGCAGGGUACUUUUUUCAAAACAAUCCCAAGAAGUAGGUAUCCCAUGUCACAGAGGAGGGAACUCAAAAACAGAGACAUUAACUAACAGCCCAAGGUCACACAGCUAAAGGGAAAUCAUAUGUAUCGAGUGUCUGUUCUGCACCAGGCACUCAUUUAAAUAAAGAUCCUUUCACUCACAAUAGUUUACCAUACAAAUAUUACAGCAUGUCUAGAUGGGGUCUUAACCAUACCAAAGUACUGUAUUGCAUGCCUCCAUCUGCCCUGGGACUAGGACCAGGUCACACACUGCAAAGGAUUUGAGUGGAAACGAUGAAUAGACCCCUGCACACCCAUGUGCAUCAAUGGAGGACUGUGGAUGCCGUGUGCCCCCAUUCCUCUGGGCCAUUGUCAUUAACCCUUUGUCUCCCAAGGAAUGGAGCUGCCAGAGAGUUCCAGCUGCCUCAGAUCCUCCCUGGUCUCUCAGGUAUGCUGAGUGUUUUCCCUUAAGCAGGGUUUCCAUAGGCUGAUGCCGAGGGGAGGCUAAGUAUGGGGCCAAAAUGCCCACAGCACACAGGUGUCACUCCAGGCAGCACUGAGGGGAAGCAGAACCAGGGGAUGGCUCUUGGGGCCUUCCUUCGCAGGAACACCACUCACUACAGGCUUCCAGGCGGUCAGCGGGUCAUGUGAGUCAAGGGCAAGUGGGUGAAUGACACUGAUAUGUUUCAGGUAGGGAGAAGCCAUGGUGGGCAGCAUUGGAGGGAGGGGAAAGAGGGGGUGAGGAGGGGGUAGAGAUAUGUAUUUGUCUACUUAUUCAUCUGAUGACUAUUUACCUACUAUGUGGCAGCUUUUCCAGAGUCCUUAGUCUGAGGAAAAAAACGCUGUGUGCUCGUGUUAUUCCCAUUUUACAAGUGAGCAGAUGCAGGGAGAGAAAGGCAAAAUAACUCACCCAGGACCACAUGGUUUGUGAGUGGCAGCGCUGGGAUUCUGGCCAGCAGUCAUAGUCCACACUCUUAACCACGGCCCUCUGCUGGGCAACUAGAAAUUGUGUGUGAUUUGUGCUCUACUUGGGGAGCCAGAGCCUGUUGGGGGGUCCUGGGAGGGCAUGGUUGGCUAUGGGACAGACCAUUCAACGAUGUUGUUUGAGGAGCCUUGUCAGGUCUUAAGCAUACCAAAGUACUGUAUUGCAUGCCUCCACCUGCCCUGGGACUAGGACAGGUCACACCCUGCAAAGGAUUCGAGUGGAAACGAUGAAUAGACCCCUGCACACCCAUGUGCAUCAGUGGAGGACUGUGGAUGCCACGUGCCCCCACUCCUCCCUCCCCAAAGCUGCUUUCCAGGCAUCUUCCAGUCCAGAUUCCUAAGAUGAGGACACAGCAUCCUGGGCCACUGUCACUAAUACAAAUUUGCCUCUGGAGGGACUCUACGGAAGAUAAUUCCCCUGAAAUUUGGAGAGUUGAAUUAAGCUAGGACUGAUUCUGGCUGGAAUUUGUGGUGGCUACGUACCCUAGAGGGCCUCAAGGAAACCCACGGUUCAAGACAGCCCUGACAGAUUCUGGAGUCUAGAACAGAAAUGGAUUUGAACAUGGGCAAGGCCAACCACCCAGUUCACGGCCUGUGUACAGCAAAGAUUACGUUACAGCCUGAGAGCUAAGCCUGGAAGCUCUUUCAUCCAUCCGUUUGUCCAUCUAUCCAUCCAUCUGCUCAUCCAUCCCUCCAUCUGCUCAACAAACGUUAGAGAAUCAAUCCUUGUGUCAGAUACUGGGGCUGCCCUCAAGGAGCUUUUAUAGAGUUCAGGGUACAGCCAGGUGGGGGAGACAGAUCACUAUAAAAACCUACCACUAUAAUCCAAAGGACAAGAGCAAAAAUAGUAAAGAGGAGAGAAGACCCAAAUUUGCCUGGUGGGUCAGAGAGGGCUUUCUAGAAGAGGUAAAAAAUCUUCGGGGCUAUCACUUCACCUUGCCUGGUGGAUAAAGGGAGGACUUUCCAGAUACAGUGGACAGAAUGUGCAGAGGCAGGAGCCAUGAGUGGCAGAGGCAGGGGAGGGACUGCAGAGACAGGUUGGAGCCAAAGCACGUGGCACUGGAGCCAUAGCCAAAGGAACAAACUGUGAGACCUGGGACUUGAAUUUGGAGGUGGUGAAAAGUGACAAGGUCUUCACAGAAGAGUGAUUUUUUCAACUUAGGGAAGGCUGACCCCAGACCAAUGCUGCCAAAGUGUGGUCUGUGGGCUGUUAGCAGUUCGUGACGAUGUAAGUACAGGAAUUGAGAUUAAGCAUUUAGAACACCUACAGCACUUUGAUAGUCAUUUUACUUUUUAAAUUUUGAGCUGGCAUUUUAUAUGCCUGGUUUUUUUUUGUUUUUGUUUUUUUAUUUUUUUUGAGACAGUCUCGCUCUGUCGCCCAGGCUGGAGUGCAGUGGCGCGAUCUCUGCUCACUGCAAGCUCCGCCUCCCGGGUUCACGCCAUUCUCCUGCCUCAUCCUCCCAAGUAGCUGGGACUGCAGGCGCCUGCCGCCUCGCCCAGCUAAUUUUUUGUAUUUUUAAUAGAGACGGGGUUUCACCAUGUUAGCCAGGAUGGUCUCAAUCUCCUGAUCUCGUGAUCUGCCCGCCUUGGCCUCCCAAAAUGCUGGGAUUACAGGUGUGAGCCACCACGCCCAGCCUUAUUCUCUUUUUCUAAUAGUUGCACUUUAUCAUAUUUUACAAAUGUGUGAGUCUGCUAUGGAUUAGAAAUUAAUAAGAGAUUUUGCCACAGAUAGUUUGAGAAGCCCAGCACUGCCACUCAACAAAUGCUGGUGCAUUCAGAUGGUGAAAUAUUCUGCAGCUAUUAAAGGAGUUAAAACUGCCUCCACUUACCUGGAGGCCCAUCUGUGACACCUUUUUAGGUUAAAAGGAAAAGAAAAACUUGCUUAGGACUGAAUAUGAGCGGUUGCAAUUUGUAACAAUGAUGUAUAUAUACAUAUACAUUUUCAUGUAUUUGUAUGAACAUAAAAGUAUUGAAGGAUAUUCAUCAAACUGCUAAAAGGGUUGCUUCAGAGUAACGGACUCGGAGAAGGCAGAUUAAUUUUCUCUUAAUGGAACUCUGUAUUGUAUCACUUGUAAAAAUAAGCAUGUGUUAUCUUUAUGAUAAAAAAGUAAAAACCUAAAAAAGAAAAUUUUGAUGUGUGUUAAAAUUUUGGAUUUCUAGGCUCCACCUUUUUUGAAUGAGUCUCUCCAAGAGUGGGGCCCUCACAUGUAUAAUGAGAAAAAGCUCCCCGAUUACAGGAUGUUACCAAGCCCCGCUAGGUGUAGGAACCCUGCUUGGUACCCACCCGAGCCUCAGCAGCUCCUCCCCAUCAUGGGCAUGAUGAGGUCUCCCUGUGAGGUGUUGUGAAGACGACGGGACAGGCUGCAGUAGGCACUGAAUAAAUGAGUCCCUUCCCCUGAUGACCCUAAGGCUAUGGGAUCAUCAUCACUCCCUCCCCAAAGCCACACCUGAUUAUUCCAGCCAGCACUCGGCCUGCCCCUUUUCUGAAUGCUUUUUGAUUUUAACUUACAUUUUUCGCAUUUAAAUGUUUCAUUUAAUUUGAGAAAGAGUCUCGCUCUGUCACCCAGGCUGGAGUGCAGUGGUGCGAUCUCAGCUCACUGCAGUCUCCACCUCCUGGGUUCAAGCAAUUCUCCUGCCUCAGCCUCCCAAGUAGCUGGGAUUACAGGCGCCCACCACCACAUGUGGCUAAUUUUGUACUUUUAGUAGAGAUGGGAUUUUGCCAUGUUGGCCGGGCUGGUCUCGAACUCCUGACCUCAAGUGAUCCACCUGCCUCAGCCUCCCAAAGUGCUGGGAUUAGAGGUGUGAACCACCACAGCUGCCUUCUUUUAAUUUGUAUUUUCUAUCUCUGCGGACAAGACUUCAAAGGUGUCUAUCACAUACUUUCAGAUCUACUGAUCAUCCUCUGAAAACCAACAUCGGGGUUCACAAAAUGGAUUUAACCAAUUGGGCUCCCCAGUUCUUCUUCCAGACUCCACCCCUCCAACAGUGUCUCCAAUGACUUCCUGGCAUCACUGAACAGGUCCUUCACUUUGCCACCUCUGAGCCUUUGCUUGAGUGUUUUCUUUCCCCUGGAAUAUCCUUUCCAACCCUAUACACCGACUGAGUCAAACCUUCUGUCUUCUUUUUGAGCAUUUAUGAGCUCCUAUCAUGAGCCAUGCAUUAUGUAAGGGACCUUACAAACACAAUCAGUCUAUGUAACAAUCCUGCCAAGUAUGCUUUAUUUUGGGCAUGGGGAAACAGAGGCUCAAGAGAAGUGACCUGCCCCAGGUUUCAGUGCCAGCACACUAGUAGAGCUGGGAUUUGAACCCAGGUUUGUCUUUUGCACUGGAUUCAGCUUCCUUGCAGACCGCAGCACCUCACAUACAGCCCUUCACUGACCAGCAAUUGGAGGGAAACCACCCCUGUGGCUUAAAACCUGUGGUGCCACAGAUCAUUCCACUCAGUCAAACCCCCAAGACCGUAGAAGUGCAUUUAACACAGCAGCUCCUAGGCACAGGAUUGUCACCUCAGGGCAUAUGACUUCUAAAGUUGCAGAUUAUAAACUUGUUCUCUUUCCCUGUCCUCAG
rnacentral:lncRNA from 1 species